AGUAGGGAGGUGACAAAUGGAUCAUUUUUCUUAACAGACAAUUUUAGAGUUUUUCUGUUAAAACGAUAAGAAAAAUGUAUACAAUUCCACGUGAAUUCACCACACAGAUGGUCUACAUCACACUUCCUGCAGAGAGAGAGAGAAAGAACAUUUGAUCAUUGAUGCUGCUGCUGCUGCUCUUGCUUUUCACGAGAGUGGCGCGUGUAACUUCUUGUUGUCAUCCAAUCACAAGACAUCAAAACGCACUAGGCUACAGUCAUAGGAGCUAGAGACUGCGUGUGGCAAGUUAUUAGGAGAUAGCUAGGCUAAUCAAUGGAAGAUGGAAUUAAAAUUACAAAACUAAAAGUUAAAUGUAAAAAAGGACAGGUUACAACACCAAGAGCCAACAGGACCUUUGCCUUAGGACCAUGCCUCAGGACUACCUGGCCUGACGACUCCUUGCUGUCCCCAGUCCACCUGGCCGUGUUGCUGCUCCAGUUUCAACUGUUCUGCCUGCGGCAAUGGAACCCUGACCUGUUCACCGGACGUGCUACCUGUCCCAGACCUGCUGUUUUCAACUCUCUAGAGACAGCAGGAGCGGUGAGAUUCUCUGAAUGAUCGGCUAUGAAAAGCCAACUGACAUUUACUCCUGAGGUGCUGACCUGUUGCACCCUCGACAACCACUGUGAUUAUUAUUAUUAGACCCUGCUGGUCAUUUAUGAACAUUUGAACAUCUUGGCCAUGUUCUGUUAUAAUCUCCACCCGGCACAGCCAGAAGAGGACUGGCCACCCCUCAUAGCCUGGUUCCUCUCUAGGUUUCUACCUAGGUUCUGGCCUUUCUAGGGAGUUUUUCCUAGCCACCAUGCUUCUACACCUGCAUUGCUUGCUGUUUGGUGUUUUAGGCUGGGUUUCUGUACAGCACUUUGUGACAUCAGCUGAUGUAAGGACUUAAUAAAUACAUUUGAUUGAUUGAUA